GACGAACGCUGGCGGCGUGCUUAACACAUGCAAGUCGAACGUGAUUUUUGUGGAAAUUCUUUCGGGAAUGGAAAUGAAAUGAAAGUGGCGAACGGGUGAGUAACACGUGAGCAACCUACCUUACACAGGGGGAUAGCCGUUGGAAACGACGAUUAAUACCGCAUGAGACCACAGAAUCGCAUGAUAUAGGGGUCAAAGAUUUAUCGGUGUAAGAAGGGCUCGCGUCUGAUUAGCUAGUUGGAAGGGUAAAGGCCUACCAAGGCGACGAUCAGUAGCCGGUCUGAGAGGAGGAACGGCCACAUUGGAACUGAGACACGGUCCAAACUCCUACGGGAGGCAGCAGUGGGGAAUAUUGCACAAUGGGGGGAACCCUGAUGCAGCGACGCCGCGUGAGCGAAGAAGGUUUUCGAAUCGUAAAGCUCUGUCCUAUGAGAAGAUAAUGACGGUAUCAUAGGAGGAAGCCCCGGCUAAAUACGUG
rnacentral:rRNA from 1 species